ensembl:lncRNA
GUACUGCCGUGUGUUGGGCUCAUAUGAGCCCCUAGGAUCCAGCAGUAAUCUGUAAACAACGUUCCUGCCCUCAUGGAACUUCCAUUCUAAGGUCAUUCGGGGGGACAACAAUAUCAACUAAAACGCCAGGCAGUGAAAACUCUGAAGAUAAAUGGAAGGAGGCUAUUUUGUGUCACAUCAUGGACGACGUCUCUUGGGAUUAUAUUUGAGUACAGGCCUCGAGAAGUAAGGGCUUGGAAGGCCUGCAGAUAUCUUGGGGAAGGAGUUCCUCUGUUUUAGGGGAAGUAGAAAGAGCCCGAGGUGAGAGUGUCAGGGGAACUUUAGGACCAAUAAGGCCAGUGUGACUGCAGAGGAAGGAGCACCAGGAAUGGCAGUAGGUGACGCCUUCAAAGAGGCAAAGGAAGCCCUUUCUGUGAAGUUUACGGCCCAGGCUAGCUCAGAAGACAGAUGUGACCCAAACUAACCAUACUGCGAUGAGGAUGAGCAAGGGAAAGUCAAGAGGCAACCUAGUGGAUCACAUUCUUCUCUUCCAUUAUGUGGCAACUGCCCUCCUUCUUCUGAAGAUCAGGGUCCUCACUGCUGGCUGGCUGGUGGGUGGCAGCUUCAAAAUCCCAUAUGAACAUCUGUUUUCUUAGACCACCCCUGCCAUUGUUGCAAGUUGAGUCCCUUGGAAGCAGACUCUGAGAUGGGAAUUAGCACAGAAGAAUUGAAUUGGCAACAAGAUUUUAUCUUAUUCACUGAUAUGCCACACAGAUUCUCCAAACUGUUUGAAGCCAGUAAGAGAGAAGGAAGAAAAGACGAUUCUAGGAUGACACCAGAUUUCUGGUUUUGAUAGCUGCAUUGAAGGAAGCUAGUGCUUCAUACCUACUUUCCUUGGGGGAAAAUGAAUGAAAAAGAGACUGAAUUCAAUCUUGAACAUGAUGAGUUUGAGAUGCCCAGAGCAUCCAAGAUAUUGAAAGUUGGAGAUGUUGAGAAUCCAUGGGAUGGACCAGACUGGAGCUGAAGAAGCCACUGGGAUUAGCACCCUGCAACGUUCAGAUGGUACAACUGAGGCUAUAUUGAGUAAGUGGUCUCACAACUUUGGUCUCAGGGCAGUCUAAGUCCUUGGAGUAGACAUGAUGGGACAGAAAGAACUACGAGGCAAAAAAGGCACUCUUUUCCAUGUCUAAUUCUACAACCUUAGACCACAUACAUUAGGAAUCAUUUUGUGAGCUGCUCUUGGAACUCACCAACCCCAAAUCAAAACAAAUGAGAAUUGCUGCCUGAAGAGUUAGUUGCCAUGUCAAGCCUACACAGCUCCAGGGGCAGGUUGCAAGCUGUUUACAGUCACUACUCGCUGCUGGCAUCUCCAGGCAGGCAUAGCUGUCCACAUAUUGUGCUGGCGCAUGUCACAUCGUAUCUGGGGUCUGAUUUGAGCAGCACACAUCCACAAUGGGAAAAUGAGGCUGGUCAGGUCCUACCCAUGGAGAUCAGAGUGAUCCAUGCCCACAUCUCCAGGUUUGAGCCGUGGUAGAAUCUGUGGCACCUGUCUUAGAAUUGAAAUUCCUUUAUGUGGCUUGGGAGUUGGGUGGGCUAGCUAGGGAGUUUGUCAUGAAGUUGCUUUUGCAUAGCAAGAAUACUACUUUUACUUAGAUUAUAUGUUUAUUUGGAAUGACUUUGAGGGUGGAGGCUAAUGGUUGUUUUGGGGGCAAAUGGCCCACUAAAGACACCCCUUAGUGCCAUCACUUGGGCCACCAUGUUGUUUUCAAAACCCGGCCAUGGCUUGGGGAGCUCAAUAACCAAUCUAUUAGCCAAAGUUAUAGACUUUUCAGGCUUCACAUACCUCUUGCCUUCCUUCUCACCCUCAGGGUACUUACCACAUCCAAUUCUUAGCAGGAUGCUUUCAUCAUUGAGUGGAGAAAUUGUGCCUCUGCAUGAGGAGAGCGUCUUCAUAAUGUUACAUAGCACUUAGGAUCCAAGUUCUUAUUCAAUGGGUGUGCUUGAUUUCUGAGCCUGAGACUUCCAUAACACCAUUGACACAGACUUGUGUUGAGAGUUUAUCAGACCCUCCACCUCCCAAUGCUCUUUGUUAUGAAGAAGGAUGCCAACUCUUCUCACCUGACAGCUGCCUCUAGAAAAUUCCUCUCCAAGCCUAUGUCUGUUUUCUAACCACUGACAACUACACCUGCUCUUUGGUACCUGGAUCUCCAUACAAUUGUAGCAUUAUAGAAGGGAGGCAACACUGUCUGGAUGUUGGAGGGCAAUAAAUGAAAAGCCACAUCUCAGAUGUGUCUCUGUGCCUGGUAAUGGUCAUGACCUCUGCAUUUCCCAGACAUUUUCUGAAUGCCAAUAAGUGGGAUACUGGAAGAACUCACGGACCUGCAUGAUGCCACGCUCCUAGACAAGUAUUUUAUGGAGCUUCCAAACACUUUUCACAUGUUUGUGCGUUAAAAAAAU